AACCCGCCUGUAUGAAGUUGGAAUCGCUAGUAAUCGCGGAUCAGCAUGCCGCGGUGAAUACGUUCCCGGGCCUUGUACACACCGCCCGUCACACCAUGAGAGUCGGGAACACCCGAAGUCCGUAGCCUAACCGCAAGGGGGGCGCGGCCGAAGGUGGGUUCGAUAAUUGGGGUGAAGUCGUAACAAGGUAAC
rnacentral:rRNA from 1 species